AAUCCCGUUCACUACGUAGAGAUCCCGACUUAUUUUGGCAUUUGUUCAGGAAUCGUUUUCGCGUUUUCGUCCUCAAAAUAAUUCAGGUGAAAAUUUGUGUUUAGUUAUUGGCCCCGCUUGUAUUUGUUUGGCCAGUAUUGUUCAAUCAGCAUCUCAAACAUUACAAGAUGAUUGAGACCCGCUGGGACCCAAUACAUGGGUACGACUACACGUACUGGCCAGACUCAAAAUACUUCAAAAAUUACCGAUUUUCUCCUCCUGUAAGUGUUGUAGAUCCAUGGUCAUACCGAUCCAGAGUAUGGUUUCCAUAUUACUGGUCAACGAGAAGGCUGUUUCAGCAUUAUAUCGAUUACAAACCUUCUGAUCUAGCUCUUAGGGAUGUCAGAUUGAGGAAUAAUCUCUACUUUUAAAGUCCAGGCCCAAAACAUGAAGUAGAAAUUGACCGCAAGAUGCAUUUAACAAGAGUUCGCAUGAAAGGUUGGCUGCUUACUAAUAUUAUUGGAUAUCUGAUGUAAAGUGUAACGUGUUAUUAUUUUAAGUUUCUAGCAAUGUAACGAACGAUAUAACUUGUCUUUCAAAUGAAACAACGAGUCAAGAUUUAUUAAACGUGUCACGACUA